rnacentral:rRNA from 1 species
GUAGUCUGACUAUCAUGUCGAGUGGAGGAUGUAGUCCUAUGGAUGGUAACUUCUUCCUCUGGAGAAUCCACGAUCUACGUAGAUGACGUACCAGAUGACUAAGAUCGGCAACUCGUGCCAGCAGCGUGGUUAUCCGAGGGUGCAGUGUUAUCCGGAUUCACUGAGUAUAAACGGUGCGUAGAUGGGAUGGUAAGUCAGUGUGAAAUCUCCGAGCUUAACUUGGAAGCUGCCGUUGAUACUAUCAAUCCUGAAUAUCGCGUAGGUAAGCGGAAUAUGUCAUGUAGCGGUGAAAUGGUUAGAUAUGACAUAGAACACCAAUUGCGAAGGCAGCUUACUUCACGAUCAUUGACACUGAGGCAUGAAAGCGUGGGGAGCAAACAGGAUUAGAUACCUGGUAGUCCACGCCCUAAACGAUGGAUACUCGACAUUAGCGAUACACUGUUAGUGUCUGAGCGAAAGCAUUAAGUAUCCCACCUGGGAAGUACGACCGCAAGGUUGAAACUCAAAGGAAUUGGCGGGGGUCCGCACAAGCGGUGGAGCAUGUGGUUUAAUUCGAUGAUACGCGAGGAACCUUACCUGGGCUAGAAUGCAGUCUGACCGUGGGUGAAAGCUCACUUUGUAGCAAUACACAGAUUGUAAGGUGCUGCAUGGCCGUCGUCAGCUCGUGCCGUGAGGUGUUGGGUUAAGUCCCGCAACGAGCGCAACCCCCAUCAUUAGUUGCCAUCAGGUCAAGCUGGGAACUCUAAUGAAACUGCCGUCGUAAGACGCGAGGAAGGAGGGGAUGAUGUCAGGUCAUCAUGGCCUUUAUGCCCAGGGCUACACACGUGCUACAAUGGAGAGGACAAAGGGCUGCCACUUGGCGACAAGGAGCUAAUCCCAAAAACCUCUUCUCAGUUCAGAUUGGAGUCUGCAACUCGACUCCAUGAAGCUGGAAUCGCUAGUAAUCGUAGAUCAGCAACGCUACGGUGAAUACGUUCCCGGACCUUGCACACACCGCCCGUCAAGCCAUGGAAGCUGGGUGUACCUAAAGUCGGUAACCGCAAGGAGCCGCCUAGCUACACAAGGACGCUCGUCACAUCG